rnacentral:tRNA from 1 species
GUCCCUGUAGCUUACAAGCUAAAGCAUGGCACUGAAGAUGCCAAGACGGUAGCCUUUACACCCGAGGACA